CCUACGGGUGGCAGCAGUGGGGAAUAUUGCACAAUGGGGGAAACCCUGAUGCAGCAACGCCGCGUGAGUGAUGACGGCCUUAGGGUUGUAAAGCUCCGUCUUCAGGGACGAUAAUGACGGUAUCUGUGGUGGAAGCCACGGCUAACUUCGUGCCAGCCUGCGCGGUACUACGUAGGUGGCGAGGGUUGUCCGGAUUUACUGGGCGUAAAGGGAGCGUAGGCGGGUUUUUAAGUGAGAUGUGAAAUCCUCGGGCUCAACUUGAGUGCUGCAUUUCAAACUGGAAGUCUAGAGUGCAGGAGAGGAAAAUGGAAUUCCUAGUGUAGCGGUGAAAUGCGUAGAGAUUAGGAAGAACACCAGUGGCGAAGGCGAUUCUCUGGACUGUAACUGACGCUGAGGCUCGAAAGCGUGGGGAGCAAACAGGAUUAGAUACCCUAGUAGUC
rnacentral:rRNA from 1 species